UACGAAGGGGGCUAGCGUUGCUCGGAAUUACUGGGCGUAAAGGGCGCGUAGGCGGCGCUGCAAGUCAGGCGUGAAAUUCCUGGGCUUAACCUGGGAACUGCAUUUGUGACUGCAUGGCUGGAGUGCGGCAGAGGGGGAUGGAAUUCCGCGUGUAGCAGUGAAAUGCGUAGAUAUGCGGAGGAACACCGAUGGCGAAGGCAAUCCCCUGGGCCUGCACUGACGCUCAUGCACGAAAGCGUGGGGAGCAAACAGG
rnacentral:rRNA from 1 species